UACAAAAAUUGCUGCCUCACAACCUGUGGCCAGAAUCCACCCGGUGUUGUUGAGGAGGGAACAGAAAGGACCAGAUUGGGGUGCAGCAACAGGAUGUAAGUCUGAGGCGAUUGGUGUCCGUGGUGGCCAGGUCCAGUUGUGGGUCGAGGGAGAAGGCCGGCUUGGGCCCCGUCACCUUCACGUUGUAGUGGUACGUCACCUGCACCAGUGCUACUCCAGAUCCGCUGCCACUCAUCUGCACCGUCUCUGUGUCACUUGGCAGCUGUUGGUGAUGCAGAAGGGUCAGAUUUAUUUGGUGAAAAAAAGUCCUCCUUCAGUGCCAUCCAAUACAGUGACAGUGGAGGUGGAAUGGAAGAGUCAGCAAUACCUGUGUGGUGAGGAGCGCCAUGACCACAUAGGCGGUGAGUGCUGACCCAAAGGCUGCCCCUCCCUGC